rnacentral:sRNA from 1 species
GGUCCUUGCGAUGUCCGGGUCCGCCGCAUCUCCCGGGCGCGCGAGGAAGGCCGGUCGGCACGUGGUUAGGAGUGGCCUCCUCUGUUACGCCGCGAAUUCCGAUUGGCCGCCGU